rnacentral:sRNA from 1 species
GCCAGGUGUGGUGGUGCAUGCCUGUAAUCCCAGUUACUCAGGAGGCUGAGGCAGGAGAAUCACUUGAACUCAGGAGGUGGAGGUUGCAGUGAGCCAAGAUCAUGCCACUGCACUCCAGCCUGGGUGACAGAGUGAGACUUUGUCUCAA